UUUUGUUUUAUUUCAGACUCUCUCAGUCGUUUCUCUGUCAUAUGCCGUGGUGCUUUUCAGGAGCUCCAGCAAUCUUGGCUGAAUGCGAUGGUGCCCAGUGCAGGGAGGGCUUGGCUCAGCACUGAGCGGAAAGGAAGACUGCAGCUCGCCUGCCCUUCUCUCUCUCGUCUCGGCUCAAAGCGGCAUGGUUUGAGAGUCUUACCCGACUCUCUUCAGUGGAACAGUAUGCAGGACCUUAAAUGCAGAAAGAAGGAUUGAGAAGAGCGACUGUGCAGCGGGGUCCGGUGUAGUCCUCUGUGUCUCCUCUGUGUCUCUCUGUGCCAAGGUGAACAGAUUCAUCCCCAGGCACCCAAUCCAUUAUCCUGUCAACAACAGCAGGUCCCUGCCACAGUUAGCAGCAACACUGGCCGUAAUGAAAUCAUCAGUAAUCCCAAAACUCAUCUCAUCACACCCAAGGUGAGAGAGAGCCAUUCUGUGAUUGGCUGCCCAUCUGCUCCAUAUUCAGAGGUGCUGGAUGAGGCAGAGGGCCCGCUGGGAAAAUGGUGUUGUAAUCAGGAGCCGGCUGUGCUGCCUGAUCAGGCUGGUGGGGUCCAGGCACCAGGCGCAGAUGUUCGGGACGGGCUGGCGAGGAUGCACCUGUAGUCACUCCAUCAUGUGGCAAAGAUUCUGGCAAGUAUUGGACAAAACAGGUCAUUUAGCAUUUUAUCUUCACUCAAAAUAAUAAUAAUAAAAAAAAAAACCUGUUAUCAUUUACCCACUCUCAUGUUGUUCCAAAUCUUUAUUUUAUCUGUGGAACACAAAAGAACAUAUUUUGCUAAAUAUAUCAGGGUUUUUUCUUUGUCCAUAUAAUAUAUGUCAAUGGGGUCCACUUUGGACAACAUUGUAUGUGUUUUGUAUUUUAUUUUAUUCCACGCUGCGAAAU